GCCAGACUCCUACGGGAGGCAGCAGUGGGGGAUAUUGCACAAUGGGGGGAACCCUGAUGCAGCGACGCCGCGUGGGUGAAGGAGUAUUUCGGUAUGUAAAGCCCUAUCGGCAGGGAAGAAGCAAGACGGUACCUGACUAAGAAGCCCCGGCUAACUACGUGCCAGCAGCCGCGGUAAUACGUAGGGGGCAAGCGUUAUCCGGAUUUACUGGGUGUAAAGGGAGCGUAGACGGCAGUGCAAGUCUGGAGUGAAAGGCGGGGGCUCAACCCCCGGACUGCUCUGGAAACUGUACGGCUGGAGUGCAGGAGAGGUAAGUGGAAUCCCUAGUGUAGCGGUGAAAUGCGUAGAUAUUAGGAGGAACACCAGUGGCGAAGGCGGCUUACUGGACUGUAACUGACGUUGAGGCUCGAAAGCGUGGGGAGCAAACAGGAUUAGAUACCCCCGUAA
rnacentral:rRNA from 1 species